GCAUAUCAAUAAGCGGAGGAAAAGAACCCAACAGGGAUUGCCCCAGUAACGGCGAGUGAAGCGGCAACAGCUCAAAUUUGAAAUCUGGCCCCUAGGGUCCGAGUUGUAAUUUGUAGAGGAUGCUUUUGGUGCGGUGCCUUCCGAGUUCCCUGGAACGGGACGCCAUAGAGGGUGAGAGCCCCGUCUGGUUGGAUACCAAGCCUCUGUAAAGCUCCUUCGACGAGUCGAGUAGUUUGGGAAUGCUGCUCAAAAUGGGAGGUAUAUGUCUUCUAAAGCUAAAUAUUGGCCAGAGACCGAUAGCGCACAAGUAGAGUGAUCGAAAGAUGAAAAGCACUUUGAAAAGAGGGUUAAACAGUACGUGAAAUUGUUGAAAGGGAAGCGCUCAUGACCAGACUUGGGCUUGGCGAAUCAUCCAGCGUUCUCGCUGGUGCACUUUGCCUUGUCCCAGGCCAGCAUCAGUUUGUCGCGGGGGAUAAAGGCUUUGGGAACGUGGCUGCUCCGGCAGUGUUAUAGCCCAUUGCAUAAUACCCUGUGGUGGACUGAGGUUCGCGCUCUGCAAGGAUGCUGGCGUAAUGGUCAUCAGUGACCCGUCUUGAAACACGGACCAAGGAGUCGUCUUCGUAUGCGAGUGUUCGGGUGUCAAACCCCUACGCGUAAUGAAAGUGAACGCAGGUGAGAGCUUCGGCGCAUCAUCGACCGAUCCUGAUGUUCUCGGAUGGAUUUGAGUAAGAGCAUACGGGGCCGGACCCGAAAGAAGGUGAACUAUGCCUGUAUAGGGUGAAGCCAGAGGAAACUCUGGUGGAGGCUCGCAGCGGUUCUGACGUGCAAAUCGAUCGUCAAAUAUGGGCAUGGGGGCGAAAGAUAAUCGAACCUUCUAGUAGCUGGUUUCCGCCGAA
rnacentral:rRNA from 1 species